rnacentral:rRNA from 1 species
GAGCGAACUGGAUUAGAUACCCAGGUAGUCCUAGCCGUAAACGUUGGGUGCUAGGUGUGGGCGGACAUCGACCCCCGUCCGUGCCGAAGCUAACGCAUUAAGCACCCCGCCUGGGGAGUACGGCCGCAAGGCUAAAACUCAAAGGAAUUGACGGGGCCCCGCACAAGCGGCGGAGCAUGUUGCUUAAUUCGAUGCAACGCGAAGAACCUUACCUGGGCUUGACAUGCAGGGUGAAACCCGUGAAAGCGGGCGCUCUUCGGAGCCUGCACAGGUGGUGCAUGGCUGUCGUCAGCUCGUGCCGUGAGGUGUUGCCUUAAGUGGCGCAACGAGCGCAACCCCUGUCCUUAGUUGCCAGCGGAUCAUGCCGGGAACUCUAGGGAGACUGCCGGUGCCAAACCGGAGGAAGGUGGGGAUGACGUCAAGUCAUCAUGCCCCUUACGUCCAGGGCUGCAAACAUGCUACAAUGCUCGGUACAAAGGGUUGCGAUCCCGCAAGGGGGAGCGAAUCCCAAAAAGCCGGGCUCAGUUCGGAUCGGGGUCUGCAACCCGACCCCGUGAAGUUGGAGUCGCUAGUAAUCGC